rnacentral:rRNA from 1 species
UACGAAGGGGGCUAGCGUUGUUCGGAAUUACUGGGCGUAAAGCGCGCGCAGGCGGUCUGCGAAGUUUGGAGUGACAGUUGGUGGCUCAACCACCAAAGUGCUUUGAAAACUGACAGACUUGAGGGCUUCAGAGGGACACGGAAUUCCGGGUGGAGUGGUGAAAUGCGUAGAGAUCCGGAGGAACACCAAAGGCGAAGGCAGUGUCCUGGGGAGUACCUGACGCUCAGGUGCGAAAGCCAGGGGAGCGAACGGG